rnacentral:rRNA from 1 species
UACGUAGGGGGCAAGCGUUGUCCGGAUUUAUUGGGCGUAAAGAGCGUGUAGGCGGCUAGAUAGGUCCGUUGUGAAAACUCGAGGCUCAACCUCGAGACGUCGAUGGAAACCAUCUGGCUAGAGUCCGGAAGAGGAGAGUGGAAUUCCUGGUGUAGCGGUGAAAUGCGCAGAUAUCAGGAAGAACACCCCGUGGCGAAGGCGCUCAUCUGGCCCCAAUACUGACGCUGAGGCGCGAAAGCGUGGGGA